UGGUGGAGUGAUUUGUCUGGUUAAUUCCGAUAACGAACGAGACCCCGUCCUACUUACUAGACCGAGGAUCCUCUCGUUCUCGCUGUCUUCUUAGAGGGACAACUACUUAUACCUUGAACUACAUGAAAUGGGGCAAUAACA
rnacentral:rRNA from 1 species